rnacentral:rRNA from 1 species
AGAGUUGAUCAUGCUCAGAUGAACGCUAGCGGCAGGCUUAACGCAUGCAGUCGAGGGGCAGCAUGAUCGAACUUCGGUUUGAUUGAUGGCGACCGGCGCAAGGGUGCGUAACGCGUGAGCAACUUGCCUCAUCAGGGGAAUAACCGUGGAAACGACGACUAAUACCCCAUAGCACAUAUUUAAGGCAUCUUUUAUAUGUUAAAGAAUUUCGGAUGAGGAUAGGCUCGCGUGACAUUAGCUAGAUGGCGGGGUAACGGCCCACCAUGGCGACGAUGUCUAGGGGUUCUGAGAGGAAGGUCCCCCACACUGGAACUGAGACACGGUCCAGACUCCUACGGGAGGCAGCAGUGAGGAAUAUUGGUCAAUGGUCUGACGACUGAACCAGCCAUGCCGCGUGAAGGUCACGGCCCUAUGGGUCUUAAACUUCUUUUGUAAGGGAGCAAWAAGWMWCACGUGUGGGAUGAUGAGAGUACCUUACGAAUAAGCAUCGGCUAACUCCGUGCCAGCAGCCGCGGUAAUACGGGGGAUGCGAGCGUUAUCCGGACUUAUUGGGUUUAAAGGGUGCGUAGGCGGCCUGUUAAGUCAGCGGUGAAAUUCAGGGGCUCAACCUCUGCCGUGCCGUUGAUACUGGCGAGCUAGAAUGCGGAUGCCGUUGGAGGAAUGUGUGGUGUAGCGGUGAAAUGCAUAGAUAUCACACAGAACACCGAUUGCGAAGGCAUCUGACGAAUCCGCUAUUGACGCUGAUGCACGAAAGCGUGGGGUUCAAACAGGAUUAGAUACCCUGGUAGUCCACGCCGUAACCGUUUUACUAACCGUCGGCGAUACACUGUCGGUGMCAAGCGAAAGCGAUAAGU